rnacentral:rRNA from 1 species
UACGGAGGGUGCAAGCGUUAUUCGGAAUUACUGGGCGUAAAGCGCGUGUAGGCGGGAAGGUAAGUCUGAUGUGAAAGCACUGGGCUCAACCUGGGAAGUGCAUUGGAUACUGCUUUUCUUGAGUUCUGGAGAGGAUGGGGGAAUUUUCGGUGUAGAGGUGAAAUUCGUAGAGAUCGGGAGGAAUAUCAGUGGCGAAGGCGUCCAUCUGGACGGCAACUGACGCUGAGACGCGAAAGCGUGGGGAGCAAACAGG